GUAGGUGAACCUGCGGAGGGAUCAUUACAGAGUUCAUGCCCUACCGGGUAGAUCUCCCACCCUAUGUUAUUAUUACUUUGUUGCUUUGGCGGGCCGUUAGGCUCCGGCCCGACUACCGGCCCCGGCUGGUAAGCGCCCGCCAGAGGACCCAAAACCCUGAAUAUUAGUGUCGUCUGAGUACUAUAUAAUAGUUAAAACUUUCAACAACGGAUCUCUUGGUUCUG
rnacentral:misc_RNA from 1 species